rnacentral:rRNA from 1 species
GGAUGAACGCUGGCGGCGUGCCUAAUACAUGCAAGUCGAGCGAACGGACGAGAAGCUUGCUUCUCUGAUGUUAGCGGCGGACGGGUGAGUAACACGUGGAUAACCUACCUAUAAGACUGGGAUAACUUCGGGAAACCGGAGCUAAUACCGGAUAAUAUUUUGAACCGCAUGGUUCAAAAGUGAAAGACGGUCUUGCUGUCACUUAUAGAUGGAUCCGCGCUGCAUUAGCUAGUUGGUAAGGUAACGGCUUACCAAGGCAACGAUGCAUAGCCGACCUGAGAGGGUGAUCGGCCACACUGGAACUGAGACACGGUCCAGACUCCUACGGGAGGCAGCAGUAGGGAAUCUUCCGCAAUGGGCGAAAGCCUGACGGAGCAACGCCGCGUGAGUGAUGAAGGUCUUCGGAUCGUAAAACUCUGUUAUUAGGGAAGAACAUAUGUGUAAGUAACUGUGCACAUCUUGACGGUACCUAAUCAGAAAGCCACGGCUAACUACGUG